AUUGAACGCUGGCGGCAGGCCUAACACAUGCAAGUCGAACGAGUGGCGGACGGGUGAGUAAUGUCUGGGAAACUGCUCGAUGGAGGGGGAUAACUACUGGAAACGGUAGCUAAUACCGCAUACCAUCGGAUGUGCCCAGAUGGGAUUAGCUAGUAGGUGGGGUAACGGCUCACCUAGGCGACGCUCCCUAGCUGGUCUGAGAGGAUGACCGGCCACACUGGAACUGCGACAGGGUCCAGACUCCUACGGGAGGCAGCAGUGGGGAAUAUUGCACAAUGGGCGCAAGCCGGAUGCAGCCAGGCCGCGUGUAUGAAGAAGGCCGUCGUGUUGUAAAGUACUCUCAGCGGGGAGGCGUUACCCGCAGAAGAAGCACCGGCUAACUCCGUGCCAGCAGCCGCGGUAAUA
rnacentral:rRNA from 1 species